rnacentral:rRNA from 1 species
UGGGGAAUCUUGGACAAUGGGGGCAACCCUGAUCCAGCCAUGCCGCGUGAGUGAUGAAGGCCUUAGGGUCGUAAAGCUCUUUCGCCUGUGAAGAUAAUGACGGUAGCAGGUAAAGAAACCCCGGCUAACUCCGUGCCAGCAGCCGCGGUAAUACGGAGGGGGACAAGCGUUAUUCGGAUUUACUGGGCGUAAAGGGCGUGUAGGCGGCUUGAUAGGUCAAAGGUGAAAGCCCUCGGCUCAACCGAGGAACUGCCUUUGAAACCAUCUAGCUCGAGGCCGGGAGGGGGCUAGCGGAAUUCCUGGUGUAGCGGUGAAAUGCGUAGAUAUCAGGAGGAACACCAGUGGCGAAGGCGGCUACCUGGACCGGUUCUGACGCUGAGGCGCGAAAGCGUGGGGAAGCAAACAGGAUUAGAUACCCUGGUAGUCCACACCGUAAACGAUGAAUGCCAGUCGUCGGGUAGCAUGCUAUUCGGUGACACACCUAACGGAUUAAGCA